rnacentral:tRNA from 1 species
AGUUUGAUAAUCUGCCAGAUAUUAAAUUGUAAAUUUAAAUAAAGAAAAUUAUUUUCUUCAAACUG